CAAAAAUGCCGCUUUUAGAAAAGUUGUUGCUUUUAGGCUUCUGAAUAACUUUGCUGAAGACAGUAUCUUUGUAAGUCCUAAGGUUUUUGAGAUAUUGAGGUGAGUCAAUGUGAUGUAAUAUUGUUGCAAUACUUUUUGUGAGUCCGUACUUAUGACGGGUAGUGUAUCUGUUUUGUUAGUGGGGACUCCUAUUCGAUUUGUUCAAGUUUUCACAUCUUCCGGGAAAUCUCCCAGAGUUGGAAUAGAGUGAAGUAAAGGCAGCCCCAGUGACAAGUGAUUGAUUCCAGAAAACCAAGAUUGGUAGUUGUAUAUAGUGAUUGUUUUGCAGCUGUAUAUUAGCUUAUGGUUUAUAUUUUACUAGCUUUUAUUCACCGUUGACUGCUUCAAUUCGAUUGUUACACAACAGAAAGCUAAUGACUAAAGCUUGCCGCUGAAAAUGUUAGCCGGGUUACUUAUCGAACUCGACGUGGGGUUUCUACCAGGAUCCUUCCCGGGAUUCCUCCAGAAAUCAAUACAGUAAUUGCAUCUUUUGUAUCCCGCGCCCGUACGUGGUGGCCGAACUCGCGUACCGAGAUUAGCGCAAGAAACAAAUGAAAACAUUACUAAUCGGACGAACGAAUUAAAACGCGUUGUUGCGAUAAACCGAAACAAUAACAAAACUAACUUUAUUUACAUUUUACAUUUGGACAACAUUCAUUCACAUUAACGUUUAUACAUGUAUGUGCUGUGUCGACAUCAAAGGGUGACAGAUGUUCAGUCGCCCGCGAGUCCAGCGGCGGCUAGAGUGGGUAUUCGUUAAUAUGGGAAAAUGAAAAAUUCAAUGGUAUCCCAUCAGAUCAAAGCAUUUUUGAUCCCAUUUCAGGACCCAAAUUAGUGUGCAAAAUUUGGGCACGAUCGAUUAUGUCUACGUUUUGCGCAUCGCGUUUGAAGUUUGUAUGGGGUUUUACAUGUAAAACACACUUUUUUGCAUUUCUCUUACAACAAGCUCUAAUUUUUCUAAAACAAUGUAACCGAUAAAAUUAAAACAUACCCUAGGAUGUCCUGAAAAACUUUGUCGAAUACCGCGAAGUGAUCUGAUGCUUAUGAAAAAAGUUAUAGCGUUGGCAUUGCUUGGUGAAACAGCAUGAUUUUGUUGCUAUUGUUAUUCCUUUACAUGUUAAAACAUAAACACAUGCAUGCGGUUCGUUGGUUAUAACUAUUUUCACAAGCAUCGGAUCGCUUUGCAGUCUUCAACAAAGUUUUUCAGAACAUCCUAGGCUAUCAUUUUAUAGUAUCGGUUAAAAAGUUUCAGACAAACUUUUUCAACUUAUGACCAAAAUACAAAAAAGUAUGUUUUCCCAUACAAAAUUGUAAUUGUAAUUGCUCAGUCCACACCCAGGCCGACAACUGUCAGCCCAUCUGCUUGUAGGCAGAUGUGGACCUACUAAGCCUCCCCCGUUAACAUGUCCUACACCGAAUUAGCACACCGGGAUCUUCCACAGGCAGGCGCUGGCGUUACCAGUCCCAACAAGUGUCAGAUACAUUAAAUAGAUGGGGUAGAGGAUAUAGGAAGAUGUGGGAAUAGGAUGGGAAGAGGCAGAAAAUGAAGAGAUAGUAGAGAGGUUUCGAUUUUGUUGCUGAAACGAGAAAAAGAGAGAAUGAUAAAGAACAUUAGCGAUAUGUUCAUAGAUUAUGAUUUGGUCGAUAAUUUCUCAUCUAUUUUGUUUCCAUAUCGUUGCAUCGGUGACCAUUUUCAUCGUCUUUCUAGUUUUUUGUUAGGGCCAUCUCGCGUUUUUCGUCAUGUCCUCUUUGCCGGUUGGCGACGUUCGGGAUCCCAUUUGUCCGCAGUACAUAUCAGGCAUCCCGUUUUAACAAGUCCUACACAGAAUUAGAAACCCGGAUCUCCCACAGACAGUCCUAACUAGUGUCAGAUAAGUUCAAUUGAGGAUAGGAAGCCGCGAAAUGAGAAGACAGUAGAGAAGGUUUGGUACAUUGGUGGCUGUGUUCAUGUGAUGUUUGUCUGACAUUGAAAAACUAUUUUCCGUAGGUGUUUAACUCUCUACCCCAAAUUUAAUACCGGAUAAAUAUCUGAUCAGAUGUAUAGUUUGGCAAUUCUAUGUCCAUACAUCUUUUAUCAAGAAGGAAUAAUGUUGUUUACUGUUAUAAAAUAAUUCAGUUAAAGGGCAGCUAAUGCAUUGUAAUCCAGAAUAAACCUACAGAAAAUGUCCCAAUAAAAAGUUAACACUAGUUCAACUAACUACACAAACUAAAAA